GAACGCUAGCGGCAGGCUUAACACAUGCAAGUCGAGGGGCAGCAUGAGACGGAGAUUCGCCGAAGUCUUGAUGGCGACCGGCGCAAGGGUGCGUAACGCGUGAGCAACUUGCCCGUUUCUGGGGAAUAACCGGUGGAAACGCCGACUAAUACCCCAUGGCAUUGAUUUCAGGCAUCUGUUAUCAAUUAAAGAAUUUCGGAAACGGAUAGGCUCGCGUGACAUUAGCUGGAUGGCGGGGUAACGGCCCACCAUGGCGACGAUGUCUAGGGGUUCUGAGAGGAAGGUCCCCCACACUGGAACUGAGACACGGUCCAGACUCCUACGGGAGGCAGCAGUGAGGAAUAUUGGUCAAUGGCCGGGAGGCUGAACCAGCCAUGCCGCGUGAAGGUCACGGCCCUAUGGGUCUUAAACUUCUUUUGUAAGGGAGCAAUAAGGUUCACGUGUGGACUGAUGAGAGUACCUUACGAAUAAGCAUCGGCUAACUCCGUG
rnacentral:rRNA from 1 species